CUUAAAUUUAUUCCUUCGGACCUAGUACUGAUCCCUGGGGAACACCACUAGUUACAGGCCUCCAAAUAGACUCUGCACUGCUGAUCACAGCCCUCUGAGCUCUUCCAGUCAGGCAGUUCUCAAUCCAUCUUACUGCCCGCUCGUCCAUCCCACACUUACUAAGCUUCAUUACAGGGAUAUUGUGAGAGACAGUGUGAAAAGCCUUACUGAAGUCAAGGUGCAGAACAUCCACCACCUGCCCCCCAUCUACCCAGCUAGUGAUGACAUCAUAGAAGGCUGCCACGUUGUUUGAGCAUGAUUUCUCCUCGGUGUGUCCGUGCUGACUAUUGCUGAUAAUCGUUUCUUUCACUUGCUUUGUGAUGACAUCCAGAGUGAGUUGUUCCAUCACCUUCCCAGGGACAAAGUAUUGGUGAUGGCAAAAUUGGACAAGGGAGGUCUUUCAGAAAGUAGUCUAUGUAUUCUUAUGGCUCCAAAAGUUGGAGUCAGAAAAACUGAAGUUCAUGCUUCAGCAGACUGAAGUGUCUUUGUCUCCUUCCACUUCUCUGCUUUUCCAAAGCGUUCCUGCCAGAUAGCUCAGGCACAGUCUCCUUCUGUUCCCUAUCUCCCCAACAAAACCCAGAGUAAGGCUCCUGCUGAUUCCCUUAUGGGGAGCAGGAGCUGCCACGUGGAUGCCGGCACGCAGACCUCUUCCUUCCAUUGCCUGCCCUUGGCACAUCCUGGAAAACUGCACGGUAGCACUCUAGUUUGUCAGUCAAGAACACCAGACACAGAUCUACCAGACAAACAAACGCAGUAAAAGGGAGAAAGGAAGAGCUCUUGGGCAACGGUGUUUGACCUCGGAAAGAAAGCAGCAAGGCAUGAAGGCAGGAGGUGUUUGGGGAGAGCUUUGUGGAAGAUCACUGCGUCUGCUUUGCUUUUCAGAGGAAAUUAUAGCAAGGAGGAGAAGUUAUUUCAGACUGACAGACACCAAAUGUCAGCAAUCAUGAGAUAAUCAGUGCAGGUUUUAUUAUCUUUAAGUGGUUUGAAAGUCUGCAGAUUUCAGACAGCUUCAAAAUCUAGAGGAAGACUGUGUCUCAAAGACAGUCUUAUGAAUAUUACAUACACGUGCUCUGUGUAGCAUUGCACAUAUUUUUAUGUGCUAAAUUCUCUAGCAGCUGUCUCCGCAGCUUCUUCUGCAGUGCCCCUUUGCGCUGAACUCCUCCUUGAGCAGCCUUGCAAACCUCUGCCCUUUUUCUUUCAAGUCUUUACAUAAAGCCCCUUCUUUGUUUCUGACAUAGCCCCGCUCUGUAAUGAGCUCCAGAGAAAAUACACUCUGUCAGUCCAGAAAGUCACUGAAGUAGCUGUGCUCAGACAUGUUCAAGGUGACUGCUAAAUAUUAAAGAAAUUCCUUGUAAUGU